rnacentral:rRNA from 1 species
UUUAGUCAGGCAACGAGCGGGUUAGGGAGACAGCAAGCCAUUUAGGCCCCAAAGGAGCGGGUUACCCCCGGGCCAACAUGGGCGGGACCAUGGGAAGCCACCCCCAAAGGGGGCGCUUAUCCCCCAAACCCGGUCGUAAUUCCGAAUGGGGGGUGAAACUCCCCCCCAUGGAACUGGAUUCCGGAAUAAUCCCCUUUCAAAAAGGCGCGGGGAAUACCUUCCUGGCCCUUGGACAAACCUCCUACUCCCUCCACAACCUUCCCCAUUCCUUAACUACCCUCCUCCUCCCUUCCCCACCUUCCCCCCCCCUUCCCCACCGUCGGGCUUCGUAGGGGGACCUUUCCCUUUUUUUUUUUUUUUUUUUU